rnacentral:rRNA from 1 species
UACCAUUUGGAAACAGAUGCUAAUACCGGAUAAAAGCUACUUUCGCAUGAAAGAAGUUUAAAAGGACGGCGUAAAGCUGUCGCUAAAGGAUGGGACCUGCGAUGCAUUAGCUAGUUGGUAAGGUAACGGCUUACCAAGGCGAUGAUGCAUAGCCGAGUUGAGAGACUGAUCGGGCCACAUUGGGACUGAGACACGGCCCAAAAACUCCUACGGGAGGCAGCAGUAGGGAAUCUUCCACAAUGGACGAAAGUCUGAUGGAGCAACGCCGCGUGAGUGAAGAAGGUUUUCGGAUCGUAAAAGCUCUGUUGUUGGUGAAGAAGGAUAGAGGUAGUAACUGGCCUUUAUUUGACGGUAAUCAACCAGAAAGUCACGGCUAACUACGUGCCAGCAGCCGCGGUAAU